rnacentral:tRNA from 1 species
GCCCUCGUAGCUCAGUGGAUUAGAGCGAGCGGUUUCUACCCGCUAGGUCGUAGGUUCGAUCCCUACCGAGGGCG